UACGUAGGGUGCAGGCGUUAAUCGGAAUUACUGGGCGUAAAGCGUGCGCAGGCGGUCUUUUAAGUCAGAUGUGAAAUCCCCGGGCUUAACCUGGGAACUGCAUUUGUGACUGCAUGGCUAGAGUACGGUAGAGGGGGAUGGAAUUCCGCGUGUAGCAGUGAAAUGCGUAGAUAUGCGGAGGAACACCGAUGGCGAAGGCAAUCCCCUGGACCUGUACUGACGCUCAUGCACGAAAGCGUGGGGAGCAAACAGG
rnacentral:rRNA from 1 species